UACGUAGGGGGCAAGCGUUGUCCGGAUUUAUUGGGCGUAAAGAGCGUGUAGGCGGCCAGAUAGGUCCGUUGUGAAAACUCGAGGCUCAACCUCGAGACGCCGAUGGAAACCAUUUGGCUAGAGUCCGGAAGAGGAGAGUGGAAUUCCUGGUGUAGCGGUGAAAUGCGCAGAUAUCAGGAGGAACACCGGUGGCGAAGGCGGUUCUCUGGGCCUUACCUGACGCUGAGGAGCGAAAGCGUGGGGAGCGAACAGG
rnacentral:rRNA from 1 species